rnacentral:lncRNA from 10 species
CUGGGAAUGACCAGGUGAGACAACAGCAGAAGACUCCUGUGGUGAGCAGCAGGAGGCAGAGGCCAUGAAAUCUGAGUUACUACUGUCACUGGGAACUUAUUUUGCCUAACAGCUAGUGUGGCCCCAAGAAACACAGGUAACAGCAGAACGUCCUGAAAGUGACAGCCAAGAAAAUGGAUUUCAGAGCAUACAUGGAACACCUCUGGGGGCUCCCAGAACAAGUGCACAACCCACAUGGGCAAAGUCCCUUGCACACCCCAGCGUCUGAUGCUGAGUCGGAAGCAGAGGGCUCCCAGCAUUUGUCCGCCACAUCUCAGAAAUGUGAUAUGGGGAUUAUACAAAUAAUUUGAUUCUUCUUUCCCACCCUUGAUAUCCGGGGCUCAACCUGGACCUGCGUUAAAGUCAGAAUUGAGGAGUGGACACCAGCAAACGGAUGUAGAAGUGUGCUCACAUCCCCUUCGUCAACUGCAAUCUCGUUUAAGGCCCUGGGGUCUCCUGGAAGGGAAGUUGGAAUCACGGGGCCACAUGGCAUUCCCUGGAGUCCUCCCCACCCUGUAGUGUCACCAGCCAGCCAGCACCAUCACAGGUGGCCCCAUCUUACCUCAGGUAAUGAGAGUGCUCUCAAGGCUGGGCCACGUCACCUGCCUACGCAGGAUGGAGCUGGAGUGUGCCUUUUCUGACCAUGGUAGUCUCCGUCGACUCCGAGUUGAGGGCCUGUCACACAGUCACUCACUCACUCUGUAGAUUGAAAUCUGGGCCUCAAUUCCUAUAGAACAGGCUACCCCUCCUCCCUGACAGCACAAUCUAAAAAGAGCAGCAAGGUAGUGGGUUCCACAUUCCCUCUUACACAGGAUUGCAUGUGUGAGACAGAAAGUGAGACCAACAGUAAAUAAAUAAAUACAUAAAUAAAUAAAUAAAAAAUAAACCCACUGGCAUGUUUUCACUGAGAAAAUGUCUGCAGAUGGCCACCCUGUGGGGUGGGUAUUAUCCCCUGUGUGGUUUCUUUUUUGGUUUGAGG